GAUGAAGAACGUAGCGAAAUGCGAUAAGUAAUGUGAAUUGCAGAAUUCAGUGAAUCAUCGAAUCUUUGAACGCACAUUGCGCCCCUUGGUAUUCCGGGGGGCAUGCCUGUUCGAGCGUCAUUUCAACCCUCAAGCUCUGCUUGGUAUUGGGCACCGUCCUUUGCGGGCGCGCCUCAAAGACCUCGGCGGUGGCGUCUUGCCUCAAGCGUAGUAGAAUACACCUCGCUUCGGAGCGUAAGGCGUCGCCCGCCGGACGAACCUUCUGAACUUUUCUCAAGGUUGACCUCGGAUCAGGUAGGGAUACCCGCUGAACUUAAGCAUAUCAAUAAGCGGAGGA
rnacentral:misc_RNA from 1 species